UACGUAGGGGGCAAGCGUUGUCCGGAAUCAUUGGGCGUAAAGCGCGUGUAGGCGGCUCGAUAAGUCUGCUGUGAAAGUCCAGGGCUCAACCCUGGGAUGCCGGUGGAUACUGUCGAGCUCGAGUCCGGGAAGAGGAGUGUGGAAUUCCUGGUGUAGCGGUGAAAUGCGCAGAUAUCAGGAGGAACACCGAUAGGCGGAAGGCAGCACUCUGGUACGUGACUGACGCUGAGACGCGAAAGCGUGGGGGAGCAA
rnacentral:rRNA from 1 species